AUUGAACGCUGGCGGCAUGCUUUACACAUGCAAGUCGAACGGUAACAGGGUGCUUGCACCGCUGACGAGUGGCGAACGGGUGAGUAAUGCGUCGGAACGUGCCGAGUAGUGGGGGAUAACGCAGCGAAAGUUGUGCUAAUACCGCAUACGUACUGAGGUAGAAAGUGGGGGACCUUCGGGCCUCACGCUAUUCGAGCGGCCGACGUCUGAUUAGCUAGUAGGUGAGGUAAAGGCUCACCUAGGCGACGAUCAGUAGCGGGUCUGAGAGGAUGAUCGGCCACACUGGGACUGCAACACGGACCAGACUCCUACGGGAGGCAGCAGUGGGGAAGAUUGGACAAUGGGCGAAAGCCUGAUCCAGCCAUGCCGCGUGUCUGAAGAAGGCCUUCGGGUUGUAAAGGACUUUUGUCAGGGAGGAAAUCCCUAGCGUUAAUACCGCUGGGGGAUGACAGUACCUGAAGAAUAAGCACCGGCUAACUACGUGCCAGCCGCCGCGGUAAUAC
rnacentral:rRNA from 1 species